UGAAUAAUAUAAAAUUAUAAAAAAAUGGAGUGAACUGAAACAUCUAAGUAACUCUUAAAAAAAUCAAACGAGAUUCUGUUAAUAGCGGCGAGCGAAAACAGAGAUGUUUUUUACUAAAUUUGGAAAUUGUUUGCCAUAGAAGGUUUUAGCCCUGUACAAAUUGAUGUUUAUAAAAAUAAAGUAAAACAAUUUUUUGUUUGAAUAUUGGGGAACCGCCCUCAAUUCUAAAAAUUUUUGGUAACCGAUAGCAAAAAAGUACCGUGAGGGAAAGGUGAAAAAUGCGUUUAUAAUAGUGUGAAAAUACCUGAAACUUAUUGUUUACAAACUGUUGAAGUUUUUUAAAACGACAGCUUACCUUUUGUAUAAUGGGCUAGUGAGUUUUUUAAGAUGGCGAGCUUAAAUUAUUCUGUGGAAGCGUAGAGAAAUCAAAUACUAACAAUGUUUUUCAGUCAUUUUAAUAAGACCCGAAACUGAGUGAUCUAACCAUGAACAGGUUGAAAAUAAUUUAGUAAUAAAUGUUGGAGGACCGAACUCGUGUAUGUGGAAAAAUACUGAGAUGAUUUGUGGUUAGGAGUGAAAGGCUAAUCAAACUCAGAGAUAGCUGGUUUUCUGCGAAAUCUAUUUAAGUAGAGCGUUUUUUUUUAUUUGUUGUGGUAGAGCUCUCGAUAAGCUAGGGGGUUUUAAAAAUUUACCAAACUUAAUGAAACUACGAAUACGACAAACAAAAUUAAAGCAGACAGAUAUUAGGUGCUAAGAUCUUUUAUCAAAAGGGAAACAACCCUCAUUACUCGUUAAGGUCUUAAAUAAUUUUUAAGUGAAAAAUAUGAUAAUUAAACUAUGACAAUCAUUUGGUAGGCUUGGAAGCAGCCAUCCUUUAAAGAUAGCGUAAUAGCUCAUGAAUCUAGUUUUCUUAUGUUGAUGAUGUAUAGAGACUCAAAAAAUUAACCGAAGUGGUAAAUCAAAACGAUGGUAGCAGAACGUUCUGUAUUUUAGCGAAGAAAAGCUGUAAAGUUUUUUGAAGAAAUCAGAAGUGAAUAUACUAGCAUGAGUAGCGAAAAACAGUGUGCAAAACAUUGUCGCCGUAAGCCUAAGGGUUCUAAAACAAGGCUAAUCCUUUUUAGUAAAAAUCGAAUGAUUUUGAUAUAAGACGACCCCUAAGGUAACAUACUAAUGUUUGUGCUAAUGGGAAAUUUUUAAUAUUUUUCUUAAGAAAGUGACAGAAAUUGAUAUUUAUUAUUAUUGAUUCGUAAUAGUUUAUUAAAUUUUUCAAGAAAUAGCUUUUUAGUCAUAAAUCGUACUUUAAUCCGACACAGGUGGGCAGGUUGAGUAAACUAAGGCGCUUAAGAUAACUUUAUUGAAGGAACUCGGCAAAUUAACUCCGUAACUUCGGAAUAAGGAGUAACGACUUUUGGGUAACCAAAAAUCGUUGUCACAAAAAUGGGGAAAGCAACUGUUUAAUAAAAACACAAGUCUCUGCUAAUUUGUAAAAAGAUGUAUAGGGACUGACACUUGCCCGGUGCUGUAAGGUAAACAUAUUGUUGUUUUGGCUUCAAUAAUAAACCCCAGUAAACGGCGGCUGU
rnacentral:rRNA from 1 species